rnacentral:rRNA from 1 species
AGUGAACGCUGGCGGUAGGCCUAACACAUGCAAGUCGAACGGCAGCACCGUAAGAGCUUGCUCUUACGGGUGGCGAGUGGCGGACGGGUGAGGAAUACAUCGGAAUCUACUUUUUCGUGGGGGAUAACGUAGGGAAACUUACGCUAAUACCGCAUACGACCUACGGGUGAAAGCAGGGGAUCUUCGGACCUUGCGCGAUUGAAUGAGCCGCUGUCGGAUUAGCUAGUUGGCGGGGUAAAGGCCCACCAAGGCGACGAUCCGUAGCUGGUCUGAGAGGAUGAUCAGCCACACUGGAACUGAGACACGGUCCAGACUCCUACGGGAGGCAGCAGUGGGGAAUAUUGGACGAUGGGCGCAAGCCUGAUCCAGCCAUACCGCGUGGGUGAAGAAGGCCUUCGGGUUGUAAAGCCCUUUUGUUGGGAAAGAAAAGCAGCAGGUUAAUACCCCGCUGUUCUGACGGUACCCAAGGAAUAAGCACCGGCUAACUUCGUG